UGAACGCUGGCGGCAGGCCUAACACAUGCAAGUCGAGCGGAAACGGCAGUAUUGAAGCUUCGGUGGAUUUACUGGACGUCGAGCGGCGGACGGGUGAGUAACGGCUGGGAACCUGCCCUGACGAGGGGGAUAACCGUUGGAAACGACGGCUAAUACCGCAUAAUGUCUUAGUUCAUUACGAGCUGGGACCAAAGGUGGCCUCUACAUGUAAGCUAUCGCGUUGGGAUGGGCCCAGUUAGGAUUAGCUAGUUGGUAAGGUAAUGGCUUACCAAGGCAACGAUCCUUAGCUGGUUUGAGAGGAUGAUCAGCCACACUGGGACUGAGACACGGCCCAGACUCCUACGGGAGGCAGCAGUGGGGAAUAUUGCACAAUGGGGGAGACCCUGAUGCAGCCAUGCCGCGUGUGUGAAGAAGGCCUUCGGGUUGUAAAGCACUUUCAGCAGUGAGGAAGGUCGUGUACUUAAUACGUGCACGGCUUGACGUUAGCUGCAGAAGAAGCACCGGCUAACUCCGUGCCAGCAGCCGCGGUAAUACGGAGGGUGCGAGCGUUAAUCGGAAUUACUGGGCGUAAAGCGCAUGCAGGCGGUUUGUUAAGUCAGAUGUGAAAGCCCGGGGCUCAACCUCGGAACCGCAUUUGAAACUGGCAGGCUAGAGUCUUGUAGAGGGGGGUAGAAUUUCAGGUGUAGCGGUGAAAUGCGUAGAGAUCUGAAGGAAUACCAGUGGCGAAGGCGGGCCCCUGGACAAAGACUGACGCUCAGAUGCGAAAGCGUGGGUAGCAAACAGGAUUAGAUACCCUGGUAGUCCACGCCGUAAACGCUGUCUACUUGGAGGUUGAGGUUUUAGACUUUGGCUUUCGGCGCUAACGCAUUAAGUAGACCGCCUGGGGAGUACGGCCGCAAGGUUAAAACUCAAAUGAAUUGACGGGGGCCCGCACAAGCGGUGGAGCAUGUGGUUUAAUUCGAUGCAACGCGAAGAACCUUACCUACUCUUGACAUCCAGCGAAGCCUUUAGAGAUAGAGGCGUGCCUUCGGGAGCGCUGAGACAGGUGCUGCAUGGCUGUCGUCAGCUCGUGUUGUGAAAUGUUGGGUUAAGUCCCGCAACGAGCGCAACCCUUAUCCUUGUUUGCCAGCACGUAAUGGUGGGAACUCCAGGGAGACUGCCGGUGAUAAACCGGAGGAAGGUGGGGACGACGUCAAGUCAUCAUGGCCCUUACGAGUAGGGCUACACACGUGCUACAAUGGCAGAUACAGAGGGCAGCGAGACAGCGAUGUUUAGCGAAUCCCUUAAAGUUUGUCGUAGUCCGGAUUGGAGUCUGCAACUCGACUCCAUGAAGUCGGAAUCGCUAGUAAUCGUGGAUCAGAAUGCCACGGUGAAUACGUUCCCGGGCCUUGUACACACCGCCCGUCACACCAUGGGAGUGGGCUGCACCAGAAGUAGAUAGCUUAACCUUCGGGAGGGCGUUUACCACGGUGUGGUUCAUGACUGGGGUGA
rnacentral:rRNA from 1 species